rnacentral:rRNA from 1 species
AUUGAACGCUGGCGGCAGGCUUAACACAUGCAAGUCGAACGAGUGGCGGACGGGAGAGUAAUGCUUGGGAAUCCAGCUUAUGGAGGGGGAUAACUACGGGAAACUGUAGCUAAUACCGCGUACCAUAGGAUGCGCCCAUGGGGGAUGAGGUAGUUGGUGGUGUAAAGGCUCACCAAGCCGACGAUCUCUAGCUGGUCUGAGAGGAUGACCAGCCACACUGGGACUGAGACACGGCCCAGACUCCUACGGGAGGCAGCAGUGGGGAAUUUUGGACAAUGGGCGCAAGCCUGAUCCAGCCAUGCCGCGUGUCUGAAGAAGGCCUUCGGGUUGUAAAGGACUUUCAGCGGGGAGGCGUUACCCGCAGAAGAAGCACCGGCUAACUCCGUGCCAGCAGCCGCGGUAAUUC